AGCGCCGGACUGUUAAUCCGUAGGUCCCUGGUUCGAGCCCAGGUCGGGGAGCCA
rnacentral:tRNA from 1 species